rnacentral:rRNA from 1 species
CACGUAGGGUGCGAGCGUUGUCCGGAAUUAUUGGGCGUAAAGAGCUCGUAGGCGGUGUGUCACGUCGGCCCUGAAAACCUGCAGCUUAACUGUGGGCGUGCGGGUCGAUACGGGCAUCACUGGAGUUCGGCAGGGGAGACUGGAAUUCCUGGUGUAGCGGUGAAAUGCGCAGAUAUCAGGAGGAACACCGGUGGCGAAGGCGGG